GAGGAUAUAGCUCAGUGGCAGAGUACGUGCUUAGCAUGCCUGAGAUCCUGGGUUCAAUCCUCAGUACCUCU
rnacentral:tRNA from 1 species